rnacentral:misc_RNA from 1 species
GGUGACAGAGGGAUAAUCCCUAAAAACCGUCUCAGUUCGGAUUGUUCUCUGCAACUCGAGAGCAUGAAGUUGGAAUCGCUAGUAAUCGCGGAUCAGCAUGCCGCGGUGAAUACGUUCCCGGGCCUUGUACACACCGCCCGUCACACCAUGGGAGUUGGUUCUACCUGACGACGCUGCGCUAACCUUCGGGAGGCAGGCGGCCACGGUAGGAUCAGCGACUGGGGUGAAGUCGUAACAAGGUAGCCGUAGGGGAACCUGCGGCUGGAUCACCUCCUUUCUAAGGAAGCUUUUAGCAGACUGGCUUGCCAGUCUCGUAAAGCGACUUAGCAGAUCGACAGUCAGUCGAUCAUAUACGCAGCCGGACCGUCCUCAUAUCUCUUCAGAAUGUAAUGUCAUCAGGCCCUCACUGUCUUAAAGCGGUCGGUCUGGAAACGGGUCGGUAGCUCAGGUGGUUAGAGCGCACGCCUGAUAAGCGUGAGGUCGGAGGUUCAAGUCCUCCUCGACCCACCAUCAUUUUCGACAGCGAAGCUGGAAAAAUCUUCCAGUGGAAGAUUUUUAGAAAAUGAUACCAAGCGAACUCUUCGCGCGGUUAGCGUAGAAGAUGCUUGAUACAAAAUUAUCAAGUUUGCCUUCUAACGUGAUUGCCUUUUAAUCUAGCAAGAGCAUCGUAACGAUUGCAUUUAUAAGCAUUUUUGAAUGUUUAUAUGUCCAAUCGGACAUGGUCCUCAAGUAGCCGCAAGGCGGUAGGACAAAACAAAGUUUUUUUGAUAUCGUAAAGAGUAAUGUGACGACAUAUUGUGGUCAUCAUCAUGUGAGAUGAUGGCGCUCUGUCACUGUUAGCAAUAGCAGUAAAAGCGACCUUUGGCACUUAUCCUUAAAGCUGAAGCGAGCAGGCAUAGCAAACACAUAUGUCUUUCCAAGUCUUUUACACUGACCGCACGUAUCGAAUGAUACGAGCAUUAAACAUCUCUCUGGGUUCGCACCCGUUGAGAUGAGUGUAAUUGCUUUUGACCAGAAGACGAUUUUCAAUUUCAUUCGUCUUCUGGAUCGAAUCAAGCGCGAGAAGGGCGUUUGGUGGAUGCCUUGGCAGCAAGAGGCGAUGAAGGACGUGAUACUCUGCGUUAAGCCAUGGGGAGCUGAGAAUAAGCUUUGAUCCAUGGAUCUCUGA